CGACCCAUUGGUUUAGUGUUCCAAGAUCAUGCGCUGUUUCCGCAUCUGACCGUGGCGCAGAACGUGGCAUUCGGUCUGGGUCGCC
rnacentral:tRNA from 1 species